UCAUUUUAUUCCGCUCUGGCCCUCUCCAUCUAAAAACCCCCAAAUCUCUCUCUCUCUCAUCUCCACGCCCACCCCCCUCACCAAAACCUCCAGAUCUCCCUCAACCCCUGCGGAUCCCUCUCCCGCCGCGCCGAGAUCCCCCUCAUCCCCCCUCCACCUCCACCUCCACCGUCGGCGCCGCCCUCUCCAGAGACAUCACCCUCAACCCAGCCCGCAACACCUCCCUCCGCCUCUACCUCCCAAACCCUAACCCUAGCCCCAAGCUCCCCGUCGUCCUCUACUUCCAUGGUGGCGGCUUCGUUCUCUUCUCUGCGUCGAUCUCAAAUCCUCCAACGUCGCCGUCUGCCUUGUCAGCAUUAAUGGCAGCGACAGGAAGUUCUCUGGAAGCAAAAAAUCAGGAGGCGAUGGCCACGAGGAUGGAGCCGAAGUCCUGCAAAGUCGAGACCUUGCUCAAACAAUUUAAGCCGGUGGAAGCUCUGAAGACGGCGCUUGAGGGAUCGCCGACGAGCAUCAAGGAUGAGAGGUGUAAGGUUUGGGGUUCUUUUUGAUCUGGUUUCAGAAAUUAGG